CUGAUUUAAUCAAGUCAAUCAGCACCUAAUCACAACAAAAAUCUUACUUAGUUCAAAUGUAACUAAGUAACAAAAAAAUAACCAAAGUCAGCAUGCUGUCGUGCUGCAACAAGCAUGCACCAAAAAACAGACUUAGCUGCAUGUAAGCCAUUUCUUAACAAGGUUUAAGUGUUGAUACUGAGGGUGUAGAUACCGUUGGUGAAGGUGUAAGUGUUACUACUGAUGGUGUAGAUGAUGCUGGUAUUGGAUUAGAUGCUGUUGGUGAGGGUGCAAGUGUAGAGAUUUGUGGUUCUAGUAGUGAAGCUGGUUCAAAAGAAGAGGCAUUCUUAGUUGAUGUACACGUAGGCAGUGAUAUGGAUGAGAAAGUAGAAGCCAUUAGGAAGAAAGUUGUUAGACAAGAAAAGCAAAUUUUUGAGGAUAAUACUGAAGGUGAUAGUGGAGAUAGUAAUGAGGAUGAUGCUAAUGAAGGUGUUCACGGAGAGAGAAAAGUGGGAGUGGACAUGGUUGAUGAUGAUAUGAUCAAGGAAAAUGAGGGCAAGCUAGAGGGGCAUGAAAGUGACUAUAUAGACAGUGAAGAUCCGGG
rnacentral:lncRNA from 1 species